rnacentral:rRNA from 1 species
CUUGACCUCGGAUCAGGUAGGGAUACCCGCUGAACUUAAGCAUAUCAAUAAGCGGAGGAAAAGAAACCAACAGGGAUUGCCCUAGUAACGGCGAGUGAAGCGGCAACAGCUCAAAUUUGAAAUCUGGCUCUUUCAGGGUCCGAGUUGUAAUUUGCAGAGGGCGCUUUGGCGUUGGCAGCGGUCCAAGUUCCUUGGAACAGGACGUCACAGAGGGUGAGAAUCCCGUACGUGGUCGCUGGCCUUCGCCGUGUAAAGCCCCUUCGACGAGUCGAGUUGUUUGGGAAUGCAGCUCUAAAUGGGAGGUAAAUUUCUUCUAAAGCUAAAUACUGGCCAGAGACCGAUAGCGCACAAGUAGAGUGAUCGAAAGAUGAAAAGCACUUUGGAAAGAGAGUCAAAUAGCACGUGAAAUUGUUGAAAGGGAAGCGCUUGCAGCCAGACUUGCCUGUAGUUGCUCAUCCGGGCUUUUGCCCGGUGCACUCUUCUAUAGGCAGGCCAGCAUCAGUUUGGGCGGUUGGAUAAAGGUCUCUAUCACGUACCUCUCUUCGGGGAGGCCUUAUAGGGGAGACGACAUGCAACCAGCCUGGACUGAGGUCCGCGCAUUUGCUAGGAUGCUGGCGUAAUGGCUGUAAGCGGCCCGUCUUGAAACACGGACCAAGGAGUCUAACAUCUAUGCGAGUGUUUGGGUGUCAAGCCCGAGCGCGCAAUGAAAGUGAACGGAGGUGGGACCCCUUUAGGGUGCACCAUCGACCGAUCCAGAAGUCUUCGGAUGGAUUUGAGUAAGAGCAUGGCUGUUGGGACCCGAAAGAUGGUGAACUAUGCUUGAAUAGGGUGAAGCCAGAGGAAACUCUGGUGGAGGCUCGCAGCGGUUCUGACGUGCAAAUCGAUCGUCAAAUUUGGGCAUAGGGGCGAAAGACUAAUCGAACUAUCUAGUAGCUGGUUCCUGCCGAAG